AUACGUAGGUGACAAGCGUUAUCCGGAUUUACUGGGCGUAAAGGGCGCGUAGGCGGUCUUGUAAGUCAGAAGUGAAAUUCCUGGGCUCAACUCGGGCGCUGCUUCUGAAACUGCAGGACUUGAGUGCUGGAGGGGCUAGCGGAAUUCCUAGUGGAGCGGUAAAAUGCGCAGAUAUUAGGAAGAACACCGGUGGCGAAGGCGGCUAUCUGGAAAGUAACUGACGCUGAGACACGAAAGCGUGGGGAGCAAACAGGAUUAGAUACCCUGGUAGUCCACGCCCUAAACGAUGAAUGCUAGGUGUAGGGGAGUCAUCUUCUGUGCCGCAGCUAACGCAAUAAGCAUUCCACCUGGGGAGUACGGCCGCAAGGUUGAAACUUAAAUGAAUUGACGGGG
rnacentral:rRNA from 1 species